CGGCUCUUCGCUGCGAGACCCGCGCUUUCGCUGCGUACUUGCCUGAGUAUUCAACGUUAAUGCGUGUGUCUGCCGCCCUCCUCGGUUUUGGUCGCUUUUCCGAUUUUUCUUUUCGGGUUUUUCACGAUUUUUUUGAAAAUUUGU
ensembl:ncRNA C26F1.13 ncRNA